rnacentral:misc_RNA from 1 species
UCUAGCAUGCGCCUGCUGAUCUCCUUGGAAUAAAGCUGGAGGAUCUCAAGGCCGUCGUCCUCGGCGGAAGUAGCGCGGUUAGCCACGGAGAAGGCCUCGUCCUCAAUUCGGCGUGCAGCGGCCUCUGCCUCAUCGUGGGGUAUAGCACCGUAGCGCUUGGAGAGAACAGAGGGAGUAGAUAAGGUCUCGAUUAAACGGGUGAUGACGGCAUCUCGAGUGCGCUGAGUCGGAGGCCAAAUGCUCAGCGAAAUACCGCUGCUGC